GUCGUAACAAGGUUUCCGUUGGUGAACCAGCGGAGGGAUCAUUACCAGAGUGCCCUAGGCUCUCCAACCCAUUGUGAACUUACCAAACGUUCCCUCGGCGGGCUCAGCGCGCGGUGGCCUCCGGGCCUCCGGGCGUCCGCCGGGGAAAACCAAACCCUGAUUUAAUCGUAUUUCUCUGAGGGGCGAAAGCCCGAAAACAAAAUGAAUCAAAACUUUCAACAACGGAUCUCUUGGCUCUGGCAUCGAUGAAGAACGCAGCGAAAUGCGAUAAGUAAUGUGAAUUGCAGAAUUCAGUGAAUCAUCGAAUCUUUGAACGCACAUUGCGCCCGCCGGCACUCCGGCGGGCAUGCCUGUCCGAGCGUCAUUUCAACCCUCAGGCCCACCCUUCCGGGGGAGCGGGCCUGGUUCUGGGGAUCGGCGGCCCUCGCGGCCCCCGUCCCUCAAAUUCAGUGGCGGUCGCGCCGCAGCCUCCCCUGCGUAGUAGCACAACCUCGCACCGGAGAGCGGAACGACCACGCCGUAAAACACCCAAUUUUUUAAGGUUGACCUCGGAUCAGGUAGGAAUACCCGCUGAACUUAAGCAUAUCAAUAAGCGGAGGA
rnacentral:rRNA from 1 species